UUUUUGCAGGUUCUAAGCAGAAGACUACACAGCCUACUAGGGUGGUUUUUAAUUGUGGAACCUUACUAAUUACUUGCUUGGCUUGUUACUAAAUUCUUGACAUUUAAAGAAUUGAAAGGAAUGAUGAAUGAUGGAUAAAUGAAUUGAAGUGAUGGACUCUGACUUGCAGAGUAGUAAGAUGUGAAAGGAAUGCACUUCUGUUUAAGGACCCUGACCUUGACUCACUCACUGUUCAAGAGAAGAAAACAA